CCACAUGUUGGGUUCAUAUAGAAUGUUAGAUCUACUUAUGAAUUAUGGUCUGCGUCUUAUUAAAAACUAGUGUUCCACCCGUACUGCGUACGGGGAAAAUGAUUAGCUUAUCAUAUUAAUCAGUGUGUUUUGUAGCAAAUGUAUUGCCAGGUUCAUACUAGAGAUGGCAAAGGGGAGGCUUGCUCGCGGACCAGACCCGAAAAGGCCUAUUGCGGGAUGGGAUUGGGCACAGAUUUUAUGGCCCGUUUGUUGGCGGGCCUCGCGGGCAUGACCGCGACGUUAUUGGGCCGAAGCGGGUUGGGCCUAAGCGGGAUGCGGGAUAAUUGGGUGGCCCGGUUGACUUUUCUGGUUUCGUUUCUUCGGUGAUAUCAACAAUGGCGGUUUCUCGUCUCUGCUUCUCAUCUUCUCUGAUCGGUGACCAGAACUCAUUCACUUCGGUCGUGUCUCUUCUGGUUCUCUUUCGAUCUCUUCAUCUCUUAUAUUCACAGAAACUUCUUCACCACUUCUCUUCUUCUUCAACAUUUCGACCACAGCACAGCUUCUUCUUGGCUUUUGAGUUUCCGUCAACGAGUCUUCAUCUUCGCAAAGGUAUAUACUCUGUUCCUCUCUGUUGCAUUUGCUGUAAGUUUUCACACUGUUGUACCUCCAAUAAUCCGAUCACUGAAUCAUACCAAUCAUUAAAGAUAUUAAGCAAACACAAAUAAAAAAUAUGAUGAAUAAGUGAAUAACAAUGUCUCUCGGGAAAGAAGUCUUGCAUUGCAAAAUCAGGUUUGUGAUUAAAGAAAGAGAGAAGAUGUGUUUAUGUAUCAAGAUGCAAUUACAAAGAAAAAUCUCGUACAAAUAUAAGUAACAGAAUUGGGUAGUUAUUUUUAGAUUGUUGAUAAUUGGUGAUCGUGGUAUUGAAAGAAAACGGUCGGCAAAGUGGCAAGAAGAAAUAUUUUUGAUCGGUAACAUUGCUUAAUCACAUACGCAUACCAUACAAAAAUUCAAUAGUAUUAAUUAAUUUUCUAAUUGAUAUGGAAAUAGUGUAAUUAAAAAUCCAAUAGUAUCAAGGGGAUCGAUUGGUGUCAGGUAUGCGAAAAUGAAACAUAUCCACAUGUUGGGUUCAUAUAGAAUGUUAGAUCUACUUAUGAACUAUGGUCUGCGUCUUAUUAAAAAUGUCGAGAGUAUUAUUACACAAUUCUCAGCGAUGGUCUAACAACAUUGCCAAAUACAGAAUAGUCUUUUAGAUAACCCUUGGUUGAUGCUAUUUUGUUACAUAGAUUGUAUAUAUAUUCUCUUAUAGGAUCGUCCAAGAAAUAUACGGGUCGGGUCGUGCAUGGAAUAUAUAUAUAAAAGAUAAACAUCAGCUUGAUAGUGACAUUGAGAUACUGCCUAAUGAAGAAAGUGAAUGCUUUGGUUGGUUUACAUAGAUUUCAAUUUCGUCUCUGUUUCAUUUUUUGUAGGUAAAAGAGGAGUAUUGAUGGCGUAACGGAACGGCUGCAUCAGAAUUGGAAUCACAGAGAAGUUGCAAAAUGAUCACAAUGCAGAAUUUUGUUUCGGAAGUUUUUACACUUAGGAAAUCACUUGAAGCAGAAAGCGGUUGAAUACUAAUCCCAAUCGAAAAACUUAAAGACAUGUUGAACAAAAUCAUUUUUGUUACUGAAAUAUAAGAAAUUGUCGGAAAUACAACCUUCAUCGUACCAUUUUUCAUGUUUACACUAACCAAUAUUACUCAACUUCUAAAAAGAGAAAAAUACAUUUAUAACACUAGAGUCUUUGGCAUGUGAAAUUUAAGAUUCUAAUAAAUAUAUAAAUAAAUACUUAAAAUAUAAAAAAUUAGUUCUAAAAAUAAUUUUCAUUUUUCAAAAAGCAAUUAUGAAAAAAAUACAAAAAAAUUCAAAAAAAAUUAUAAGAAAGCUAGAAUUUGAUAAAGUAGAAUUUAAAAAUAUAUUUAUUUAUUUUUAAAAAAAUAUUUAUUUAAAUAAUAAUUUAUUAUAUAUAUAUAUAUUGAACGAAAAUAUAAGAAUCUUUUGUCUCUUAAUGAAGAAUGUAUUUUUGAAAAUGUCUCUUUAUUGAUAGUAAACCUAAAUAAUGGUAUUAAAAAAAUGGUAAACAUGAAAAUUCUCUUUGAAAUAUUUAAACUAGCUAUAACCAUUGGGAGACAAGUUAAAAGAUGGAUCACUCAUUUUAAUUUUCAAUUUUUUCUUUAAAAAAAAACUAAACUUUAUUUAAACACAAUUUAACAGAUAAUUUAAUUUUGAUUUUCAUAUAAUCAUUCUUAUAUUAACUUGUGUUAUUAAAUACUAUAAAUAAAAAGUACAUAUUAAUUAUAAUUAUCAAUUUAAUAAAACUAAAAUAUUAUAAUAUAUAUUUCAAAUCAUGAUUUCGUGUUGUGGGUUAUAUCAACAUAUAAUUUUGAAUACAUCUUUUAAAGGUUGUAUUGAUUUUUUUUUCGUGAAUCCUAAACGAUAGAAUAUAUAUACAUUCCAAAAUAAGCUUGGUUGUUGCAAUGAAUAAUAAUAUUUUUAUUAACAUUUAUGUAUACAUGAUGUACACAAUGAAUAACUAGUUGGACAUGUGGGAGAAUUACAGAAUAUUUCCAUAUUUGAGUUUUGUAGAUGGCACCGAAGUACGUAUCUUUCCAUGUUUGAAUUUUGUAGCAAUAUCCAACUAGUUGGACAUGUGGGAAAAUUACAGAAUCAGCCACAAGCAAUGCAUGACCACAGGGUUCCCCGUAGGUUCCCCGUCGGUAUCAUCUAGGUUGAGAUCUGGUACAUCAUCAGCCUCAUAAGAGAGGUAACCAAAGAGCGGGGGUAUAUCAAAUUUUUAUCACUAAUCUUAGAUAGUGGCCUAGUCUCCCGUGUGUGUGGGGUAGCAAGAGAAGGUUGGUGAGUAAAAUCGUGCAUUGGUGCCGGGGUUUACGGGGGUGGUGCGGUUCUUAGUGUACGCGUGGACGCUGAUAUUGGGUGUACACGUGAAUAGGGUGUGGAGGGAUCUUCUCUUGAUGUACGUGUGUAUGCCGAUCCGGUUUGUACCUGUGGACUUUCCUCUUGGUGCACACCAAGGAAAUAUAGGUCUUUCUUCCAAUAUGUAUCAUCUUCGCCGGAUAAGCGAACAGUAUGGUCGAAGGCAUUGCUGGUGGUGCACUGGUAGGUUUCGGGGGCUGUUUUAGGUACAUGAAUCCACACCAUAACCUCAGCUCCAUCAAACCCACCGAAUGUUUCCUCGUCUUCUUAUCUAUUACAAAAUUCCAGAUAGAAUCGACGGAGGUCCACUCUCCGGGAAUAACAAGGCAGUGAUCUGCCAUGGGGGAUCUGCAAGAAAAAAAACAGGUAGCAAAUUAGAUUAUUGGAUAAGCAUGUCUGGUUAUUGGAUAAAUAGGUUUGUUAGGAGGGGGUUAGACAACAAACUUUUUUUAGCAGCUUAAUUUCGACGUGAGCAGAACCGUGAAAAAAAAAGCAGUGAAACCGUGAAAAAAGAAAGAAAAAAAGAUGAAGACUGUGACUUUAUGCAAACUAGUUAAUCUGGCCGUCCAUGUAAAAAGACAAAAUAAGAUCCAAUGGUUGAGAUAUGAGACAUAUAUAAAUCUUGUCACAAAUCUUAGAAUUAAUUUGGACCGUUGAGAUGGUAUAUAGAUGAGUGGUGGAGGUUUGUUCCCGCUAAAACAAUAGUUUAGUUAGUCAGCAAGUUAGUUGCAAGAUAACUAGUUUGUUAAAAAAAAAAAUAACUAGUUUGUUUAGGUGAAAAUGAAGCUGUUAGGAUAAAUUGACUUGAUAGAAAAAAACUGUCUUAUUAUAAAAAAACUUAAAACUGAAUAAAACUGUCUUUCGGUGUAAUUCUUUAUUAAAUCAUUAUAAAGAGUAUUGGACAUACAAGCAUAAUUUUGUGACUGAAUACAACAUAAAUGCGUUUAAUUUUAAUGUUAAUAUAUAAUAAUGAUAAAGGGAUUUUGUAUAUUUAAAUAUUUUAGAUGCAUGCAUAUAUUAUAUAUAUGGCAUAUAUCUUAGUUUUUUGACUUUUUCAUAAGAUAUGUACAUAACGAGAAACAUAUAUCAACUUAACCAAUAUGCAUCUGAAGUUUAUGCACGCAUAUAUUAUAUCAUCAUAUAUGAUAUAUAUAUUUCCUAAAAAUAUCAGCUUGAUAAUAUAUAUAACUAUGUGAUACACAUCCUAAACACAUACACACACACACAGAUAUAUAUAUUGAAAACUCCAAUCAUCAUAUAAAAUGACUAAGUCCGUUUUUUGUGCUGUCCUUAUCAUAUUUAUUCUAGGAUUUAUGGCGAAUGAGAUUCAAGGACAGUUAGGAAAGCUGUGUAAAGAGCCUUUACCACAAACAGAUUGUGGUGCCGGCUCAUGUGGUGCUCUGUGCCGUCAAUUAAAGCAUGGAACUGGCCACUGCCUUCGGGGAUCCGAAGGAAAAUAUGUGUGCUUCUGUUAUUUUAAAUGUCCUUCUUGAAUUUUUGUUUCACUCUGUAAAAUGGUAUCUCACUUUAAUGAUAAAAUGAAAAAGAAUGCCUGCUUCUGUUUUUUAAAUCCUCUUCUUGAAUUUUUUUUUAAUUCUCUAAAAUGGUAUCUCACUUUCUUCUUUUUUUUUUGUCAUCAUGGUAUCUCAUUUUAAAG